rnacentral:rRNA from 1 species
AAUAGAUACCCCGGUAGUCCACGCCGUAAACGGUGGGCACUAGGUGUGGGCGACAUUCCACGUCGUCCGUGCCGCAGCUAACGCAUUAAGUGCCCCGCCUGGGGAGUACGGCCGCAAGGCUAAAACUCAAAGGAAUUGACGGGUCCCCGCACAAGCGGCGGAGCAUGCGGCUUAAUUCGAUGCAACCCGAAGAACCUUACCUGGGUUUGAAAUCAUGGGAAAAGCUGUAGAAAUACAGUGUCCGUAAGGGCCCAUGACAGGUGGUGCAUGGCUGUCGUCAGCUCGUGUCGUGAGAUGUUGGGUUAAGUCCCGCAACGAGCGCAACCCUUGUCCUAUGUUGCCAGCGGUUCGGCCGGGGACUCAUAGGAGACUGCCGGGGAUAGCUCGGAGGAAGGUGAGGACGACGUCAAGUCAUCAUGCCCCUUAUAUCCAGGGCUGCACGCAUGCUACAAUGGUCGGUACAACGGGCAGCGACCCCGCGAGGGUGAGCGAAUCCCACAAAGCCGGCCUCAGUUCGGAUUGGAGUCUGCAACUCGA